AACACAACACACUCUUGGAGUAGUCUGUGCGCGGCCUCAAUCUGAACUUUUCGAAAUACGGUUCAAAAAUAAAAUAAACUUACCCUUUAGGAAGCCAGAAGUGGAAAGAGGAACAAUAACAAAAGAGAGAAGAAACGGCAAAAUACCGUGCCAUCAACUUCACCUCAAGUUUCUAAAGUGGACAACGAUUUUUUUUUUUUUAAAGAUGAGCAAUACUACAUCCACCACACCAAGGCAGCUUGAGUCCACACCACUUGCCAGUGCUGAUGCAACAAAAGGACCCCUAAAUACCUUGAAACAGGCCUGUUUUGGAAUAUGUCUCAUCGAAAAGAGAAAUUACAUUUCCAGUCGCUGUGCCAUCAAAUUCACCUCAAGUUUCUAAGGACGACGAUGAAAAAACACAG